AUGAUGAAGGUUACAGAAGCAUCAACUUCGGUUAUGGAGAUGGAGAUUCGUUACAGAGUGAAGGUGCUGCUGAGGAAUGAAGGAAGUGAUAGAGAUUCAAAGAAAAUGAAGAUUAUGAAGAAUGAAGUUGAAUCCGGUUGCUUAGUAUGGACAUCAGCUGAACUCUUUUGUGAUGAUGUGCAGGGCAAGCUGUUUUGGUGUAUGUUUGCGACAUUAUCUGGCUGCAGAUUUGAAGCAACGUGA